rnacentral:rRNA from 1 species
GGGUAGUUUGACUGGGGCGGUCUCCUCCUAAAGAGUAACGGAGGAGCACGAAGGUUGGCUAAUCCUGGUCGGACAUCAGGAGGUUAGUGCAAUGGCAUAAGCCAGCUUGACUGCGAGCGUGACGGCGCGAGCAGGUGCGAAAGCAGGUCAUAGUGAUCCGGUGGUUCUGAAUGGAAGGGCCAUCGCUCAACGGAUAAAAGGUACUCCGGGGAUAACAGGCUGAUACCGCCCAAGAGUUCAUAUCGACGGCGGUGUUUGGCACCUCGAUGUCGGCUCAUCACAUCCUGGGGCUGAAGUAGGUCCCAAGGGUAUGGCUGUUCGCCAUUUAAAGUGGUACGCGAGCUGGGUUUAGAACGUCGUGAGACAGUUCGGUCCCUAUCUGCCGUGGGCGCUGGAGAACUGAGGGGGGCUGCUCCUAGUACGAGAGGACCGGAGUGGACGCAUCACUGGUGUUCGGGUUGUCAUGCCAAUGGCACUGCCCGGUAGCUAAAUGCGGAAGAGAUAAGUGCUGAAAGCAUCUAAGCACGAAACUUGCCCCGAGAUGAGUUCUCCCUGACUCCUUGAGAGUCCUGAAGGAACGUUGAAGACGACGACGUUGAUAGGCCGGGUGUGUAAGCGCAGCGAUGCGUUGAGCUAACCGGUACUAAUGAACC